GCACAGGGCCCUGAGCUUAGGAAGGCCCUGCAUUCGGAAGGGCCCCAAGCUCGUUUUAAUUCACACCAUCGUCACCACCUUGUAAUUCUCAGGCAUUUUCAAACCAGGGGGCCACAUUUUCUUCUUACCCUGGGCCCUGCAAACUCUAUAGCCGAUCCUGGCGAGGAACCCUGGGCCUCCGGACACCUUGACUUUUCUCUCCAGUUUCCUGAAUGCCGCAGCCAGCUUUCUGGGGGUACGGAAACAAGUGCCAGAAGGUGGUGAGGUAAGCGAUGCAAAGUUGACAUGAGAUGUAGGAGAGAAAUUCCUGAGCUGCCCAGAAGCAGGUGAUGUGCGAGAGAAGCCAGCAGCCACGGGCCCCUGGAGCAGCAGCCGCUGAUACUGAGUGCCUGCCGUGUGCUAGCGGAGUGAUCGAUGUUCACAGCGAUUGUCACCGUUCUCCCAACAACGCAACUGAUACAGAACUCUU
rnacentral:lncRNA from 1 species